rnacentral:lncRNA from 1 species
UUACUUUUAAAUAUAACAAAAUAGAUAUAUUUCAAAAGGGCAAUUAAUCAUUUAAUUGUAGUCUAAGCCUAAGUUGGCAUCUACCAUAAAAAAAUAAAUUAUUUAUUUUGGAUAGAUAUAUAUGAGACACAAGCCAACUUUUAAUUAGGUUGUAAAGGAGGAGUGGAACGCAUGCAUCCAGGUAUUUUUUAGUUACCUUUGUUUCUUUUACGAGGUCACAUUUCUCUCUAGUUUACUUGACUCAACCUUGUGCUUGCAAUUUGUUUUAUGUAAUUUAUAGAAACAACUUUAUAAACAGUAUCGGUUAUCUAUAGAAUGAAUUUUUAAUAUAUUUUAGUGAAAAUAAUUUGAUGUUGAUGAAAUAGAAGAAGAUGGAGAAAAAGGGUACGUACGAGGAGACUGAAACCAGUGACAGAAGCAAAGGAAGUAGCCAUGGAAGCUCCGGCGAGAGGAAGCUGCCCGAGAUG